CACAUCACCUGAGAACGACAUCUAUCUUAUCAGUAGCUUAAAAAACAAAGUGAUUUUGGUUAUGAUAAAGAAAAAUGAUUAGUUUAUAUUGUAACAAAAUAUAUACAAUUUUAAAUAAGUAUUGUAUUUUGAACGUUCGGACCGAAACAAUUAAUUUAAGUACCAAAUUCGAAACAAAAAAGCAUUGUUUCUUUUCGCUGCAAAUCUUUCGGCUGACCGGCUUAAGUUCGGCUCGAAAUCCGCCUUUUGGGUCCUGAUCGCCAUCGAGAACAUUAACCAAGUAGUUUAUGUAGAGGAUGGCCAACUUCAGUG